GAUGAACGCUAGCGGGAGGCCUAACACAUGCAAGCCGAGCGGGAUUUUGUGGUAGCUUGCUACCACAGAUGAGAGCGGCGUACGGGUGCGGAACACGUGUGCAACCUGCCUUUAUCUGGGGGAUAGCCUUUCGAAAGGAAGAUUAAUACCCCAUAAUAUAAUGAAUGGCAUCAUUUAUUAUUGAAAACUCCGGUGGAUAAAGAUGGGCACGCGCAAGAUUAGCUAGUUGGUGAGGUAACGGCUCACCAAGGCAGUGAUCUUUAGGGGGCCUGAGAGGGUGAUCCCCCACACUGGUACUGAGACACGGACCAGACUCCUACGGGAGGCAGCAGUGAGGAAUAUUGGACAAUGGGUGAGAGCCUGAUCCAGCCAUCCCGCGUGAAGGAUUAAGGUCCUAUGGAUUGUAAACUUCUUUUCUACAGGGAUAAACCUACUCUCGUGAGGGUAGCUGAAGGUACUGUAGGAAUAAGCACCGGCUAACUCCGUGCCAGCAGCCGCGGUAAUACGGAGGGUGCAAGCGUUAUCCGGAUUUAUUGGGUUUAAAGGGUCCGUAGGCGGGUCUGUAAGUCAGUGGUGAAAUCUCGCAGCUUAACUGUGAAACUGCCAUUGAUACUGCAGGUCUUGAGUGUAGUUGAGGUAGCUGGAAUAAGUAGUGUAGCGGUCAAA
rnacentral:rRNA from 1 species